rnacentral:rRNA from 1 species
UACGUAGGGUGCAAGCGUUAAUCGGAAUUACUGGGCGUAAAGCGUGCGCAGGCGGUGAUGUAAGACAGAUGUGAAAUCCCCGGGCUCAACCUGGGAACUGCAUUUGUGACUGCAUCGCUGGAGUACGGCAGAGGGGGAUGGAAUUCCGCGUGUAGCAGUGAAAUGCGUAGAUAUGCGGAGGAACACCGAUGGCGAAGGCAAUCCCCUGGGCCUGUACUGACGCUGAGGCGCGAAAGCGUGGGGAGCAAACAGG